UACGAGAGGCCCAAACGUUAUUCGGAUUUACUGGGCGUAAAGAGCGCGCAGGCGGUCGUUCAAGUCGAGUGUGAAAGCCCCCGGCUCAACUGGGGAGGGUCAUUCGAUACUGAUCGACUCGAAGGCAGGAGAGGGAAGUGGAAUUCCCGGUGUAGUGGUGAAAUGCGUAGAUAUCGGGAGGAACACCCGUGGCGAAGGCGGCUCUCUGGGACGGUACUGACGCUGAGACGCGAAAGCGUGGGGAGCGAACAGG
rnacentral:rRNA from 1 species